UAGGAUAUAGCUCAGUGGUAGAGCAUGUGCUGAGCAUGUUGUACAAGACUCUGAGUUCAAAGUCCAGUAGCCUAG
rnacentral:tRNA from 1 species